GGUCGUCGUUCGCAUGUCGACCACGAGGCAGCGGCCAUUUUGGGACAUACGAACACAUAGCGGUGUUCGGUACAAACUGUAUGGAACUAAAAACGGACACUUAAACUACCGAACACCGCUGGAAGCUGCUGCCUACCUUCCAUUUCGACAAGGCAUGCGAACGUCGGUCGUUCGGGAGUUUUUAUUCAUUCGUAUGGACUUUCACCCAGACAGCCAUCCCAUGGAGUCAUUCGUAUACCGAAGGACUGGUGAAAGACUUUGACUCCAUGGCGAUUCGACUAGAU